rnacentral:rRNA from 1 species
UACGGGGGGUGCGAGCGUUGUCCGGAAUCACUGGGCGUAAAGGGCGCGUAGGUGGUUUGAUACGGGUGUGGUGAAAGUCCGGGGCUCAACCCCGGAUCUGCCGUGCCGACUGUCAAACUCGAGGGCUGUAGAGGCAGACGGAAUUCCGGGUGUAGCGGUGGAAUGCGUAGAGAUCCGGAGGAAGACCGGUGGCGAAGGCGGUCUGCUGGGCAGUUUCUGACACUGAGGCGCGACAGCGUGGGGAGCAAACAGG